AAAGAGCUAAUAAAGAAGAAGAAAAAAAGAUGAAACCAAAGAACAUACUAGACCAAAAUAGUGAAAACUCGAAGAAAGAGAAAGAAUAUAGAAAAAAAAACUAUAGUACUGGGCUCGCCCGGUCGCACUACGUCCGAUUCAAGGGAAGCAUACAUAUCGUAUGUGCAAGAUAUAUAGCUCUUAUGCCAACUAGCAGUCGUCGACACAU
rnacentral:lncRNA from 1 species